ACUGAUGUCUUUAUUUAAGAAUGUAAAAAAAUAUUGUCAUGGCUCAUGAAAGUAUCAUAAGAACAACUUGAAGAGAUGCUGAAUGUCAUACAUUCAAACAUAGGAAAAACCCAAACUGGAAGAGAUUUGGGUAUUGGUGUUCACUGUCUCAUGACAUUGUUUAUUUUGUUCCUAUUUCUUUGCCUAUUUGUCCUCUUUUGGAAGAAGUGUUACCUGUAUAUUUGACAUGAAAAAUUCCUCUACUGUGAAAAUGAUUUUUUUUUAAAAGAGGUACUCUGGAAUUUUUUCUUUUUUUCUUUGAUGACUUUUUAUUUAAUUUGGGGAUAAAGCUGGAAACAACUUUGUUACGCACACAGUCUCAGACCUCAGCAUUGCAGCAAUGUUGCUGGUUUGUUGGGAUUUAUUUUUUCCGUCUGGUCUCCCAAUGUUUCAGAUGGGCCGAAGCAUUAGAGGUGAUUCAUUUAAACCGUGGAUUGUGCAUGAAUAUGUCUUUAGUGUUUAAAAGAAAAGCCACAAAAAAAUUGGAGUUUGAAGCUUUGGCCUAAAGUAUUGCAAAUAAAGAUCAUUUAAACAAC